GAAUUUGCCUAUUCUAGAUACUUCUUGUGCCUUUUUCCAUAAUUUUUUCUUAUAACCAGCCCUUCUCAUCCAAAGGCCACAAUGAAGUCGAAGAAACCUAUAGAUGACAGCUUUCACAAUCCUUCUCUUGCCUUUUCCUGUACUGACGUAUGUUAGAGAUCUGGCUGGCAGCUUCAAGACACUUGGAAGCAAGAGGGCCACUCUAUUAAGGAUCGCUGAAGUAUGCCCACAUGUCAGGUUUCUCUCAGAUGUGUCUCAGGUAUGCCUUUAUCAGCAGCAUGAAAACAGACUAAUACACACACUACUAUGCAGAGAUUAAAAGCAAUAAAGGAGUUGGGCACAGUGGCUCCAGCCUAUAAUCCCAGCACUUUGGGAGGCUGAGGCAGGCGGAUCACUUGAGGUCAGGAGUUCAAAACCAGCCUGGCCAACAUGGUAUCAAAACAUCAUUAUGGGCCGGGCACGGUGGCUUACGCCUGUAAUCCCAGCACUUUGGGAGGCUGAGGCAGGCAUAUGAAGAGGUCAAGAGAUCGAGAUCAUCCCGGCCAACAUGGUGAAACCCCAUCUCUACUAAAAAUACAAACAUUAGCUA
rnacentral:lncRNA from 1 species